GGGGGCGUUACGGAUUCGACAGGUAUAGUCGAGCUUGAAUUGCGUUCCGUAGGUUACGUCUACGUAAAAACGUUACAGUUAAAUAUAACUGCUAAAAACGAAAACACUUUCGCUCUAGCUGCCUAAAAACAGUUGGCGAAGAUCCUCCCAGCAUCUCCCAUGUGCUGGAUCAGGGUCUCAAACUAAGUGGGAUACGCUAAAUGUUUCCGUCUGGAAUGUUUAGAAGAGUUUAUCAGACUAGCGAAGAGCAAUGUUUGUUUAAUGUCAGAACUCUCAGCGAAAUUUAAGCAUUAAACUAUGAGCGUAGAUAUUGAAGUGGCGAUGUGCUUGGACGCGGGUUCGACUCCCGCCGCCUCCAUUU
rnacentral:tmRNA from 1 species